rnacentral:sRNA from 1 species
AACAACAUAUAUCUAAAUCCUCCAGCAAUUUGAAAUGCAAUCAGUUUCAAGUCAGGAACUGACAAAACGGUGAAAACAACGAAACACGAUUUCAACGCCGAUGAAGAGGCAAAAACAGAACAUACUUGACAAAAAUCUUAAGAACACAACAAAAACCCACA